UCUCUUCGAGCCCCGCGUCACGUUAGUUCCGCUGCUGCUCCCCGGGGUUUGUGGUGGGGGUGGGGGAGCCCGUUAUUAACCCCUCCGUGCCCGGCUGGGGGGCGGGGGGUUUCUCCAGCCGGGACCAGCCCCCCGGGCCGGAGCCCCCCGGCUGCAGAAUAACGUCCAUGUUUUGCUCCAGCUCUUCCCAUCCUCCCAUGGCACAGGGUAGAGAAAUGGCUGCAGAGGAGCCAGUUCAGGGGCUGGUGGCAUUUGAGGAGGUGGCUGUGCAUUUCACCAGGGAAGAGUGAGUUCUGCUGGACCCCACUAGGAGAGCUCUCUACAGAGAUGUCAUGCAGGAGAACUAUGAGAAUGUGACCUCACUGGGCAAGAAUUCCUGUGCCCUCGAUUAUUAGAAGGGGAAAUGAAGAGAUAACGUUCAUGCCAGACCCACAAUGCUACCUCUACUCUGUCCUGUUUCAGCAUCACCCCAAUAUGCCAGUGACCCACACCCUGCCAGAGACCCUCCCCUCCUGCAGAACACUUUGGGAACAAAGCACAGGAGCACUAUUGCACAGGAGGAACUGGGGGUUGGGUCCAGCAUAAUGAACAGAAGCUUCCUACCCCUGGCCUUCUCUGAAACACUGAGCCUGCUCCACCCAGACCAGAAUGUGCUUGGGGUGUAACAAGCAGGCUACUGGAGACAGAGCUGCUGCUCAAGGGUUACUUAUCACACAGACACUGCGUGUGUCCUUGAAUGCUGGCUGGGAGCAUCCAGACAAGGGAGCUCCAGCAGCAGAAUAUUCAAACUCACCCAGGAUUACAGAGGACACAACUCCUCACUGGUCUGGAUGGCACCUCAGUAUGUCAAAAUGGCCUAGGUUGGUAGUGAAACUUCUUGAGACAUUGAGAAUCUUGCUCCCCCUUCACCAUGUGUAAUAGCCACAAUCUCUCUUCUCUGCAGGCUCCUCUCAUUGCCAAAGUCACAUGACACCGAUUCUUAUUUUUCACAUUCAGCUUUUCUAGACUAAUUAGGAUCUGUUGCUCCUGAAUUAUAGCUUCUAACUUCCCAGUGUUCUGCACACCCAGGGAUUUUCCUACUCCCUCCCAUUACACUGGGCUCACUAGAUUCCCUAGUACAUAAAUCCAGCCAUAGUGGGUCAGAUCAAAGUUCCAUCUAGCCCAGUAUCCCGUCUUCUGACGGUGACCAAGGCCAGGUGCCCCAGAGAUAAUGAACAGAACAGGAAAUCAACAAGUGAUCCAUCUCCUGACGUCCAUUCCCAGGUUCUGGCAAUCAGGGGCUAGGGACAUCACCCAUGCACAUUCUGGCUAAUGGCCAUUCAUGGACCUAUCCUCCAUGAAUUUACCUUGUUCUUUUUUUGAACUCCGUUCUAGUCUUGGCCUUCUGGCAAAGAGUUCCACAGGUUGACUGUGCAUUGUGUGAAGAAAUGCUUCCUUUGGUUUGUUUUAAAUCUGCUGCCUAUUACUUUCAUUGGGUGACUCCUAGUUCUUGUGUUAGGAGGAGGAGUAAAUAACACUUCCUUAUUUACUUUCUCCACAGCAGUCUUUAUUUUAUAAAUUUCUAUCAUAUUUCCCCUUUGUUGUCUCUUUUCCAAGCUGAAAAGUCCCUGUUUUUUUAAUCUCUCCUCAUAAAGAAGCUGUUCCAUACCCCUAA